CAUGCUUUUAUUUUGUUAACGGCUAUUGCUGGCGCCGGCGGAAAAGGAAGAAGAACGCAGAAAAAAAACAAAAAAAACAUUGAAAGGAAGGGUAACUCCACAGAACUUUUACAGGGUCAUUUUCAUUAUAAAGUACUUCCAGGCGGCGGAUUUGACAGAAUAAUUUGAUCGCGCAUUUGCGUAUGUUGUUUACAUGCUUUUAUUUCGUUAACGGCUAUUGCUGGCUCCGGCGGAAAAGGAAGAAGAACACAGAAAAAAACAAAACAACCAUGGAGAGAAAGGGUAACUCAACCUAACUUUUACAGGGUCAUUUUCAGUAUAAAGUACUUCCAGGGGGCGGAUUUGAUAGAAGCAAAGUCGUUUGUAGCCACUGCCAAGCUGAAUUUUCUUAUCACAGGAGUCCUUCCAGUCUAAAAUAUCACCUUCACGCGAAGCACACUGUUGAUGCGAGCAAACCAUUCAAUAAAGUAGAAAGUGGAGCCAGGCUCCGGCAGACUACGUUAAAUGCAGCGUGCGGGAGAAGUAUAGAUAAACGAGAGCAAGAGAAGCUAACAAAUGCUAUAGCGAAGUGGAUAGUUACAGACUGUAGGCCCAUUAGUGUUGUGGAAGACGUCGGCCUGAGAAACAUUGUGCGAAUCGCAUCACGUGUGAGCCGCCAUCGAGACGCACCAUCGCACGAAGAAUACACGAGUUGUAUGAAAAGAAGAGGACUAUAAAACUGACAACUUUACAACGUGCAGCUGUAGUUGCUCUCAGUGGGGACUACUGGACAUCAAUCGGUAACCAUAAUUACCUGGAGUUACAGUGCAUUAUAUUGAUGAAAAGGGGGUGAUGCAUUCAUAUGCUCUGUCUAUAAUGAAAACGGAGGAGAGGCAUUAUGCUGAAAUAUGCGCGGGGCACUUCACUGAAGUUAUACAACAGUGGAAAUUGACAGAUAAAGUCACCACACUAAGCACGGAUAGUGCACGAAAUAUGAUUGCUGCUGCGAGACAACGAGACAACUGCCUUUUGAUCAUAUCCCCUGCUUUGCGCACAGUCUCCAGCGUUCUGUCACUGUUUGUCUGCACAACAGUGCGUUUGACAACAUCCUUUACAAGUGCAGAAAAGUUGUCGGGCACUUUAAACAUAGUCCAGCAAAUGCAGCAGAAUUAGAGCAAAAACAAGCUGAACAUGGACAUAAGAAAGAGGCCCUUGUGCCAGAUGUUCCUACCAGAUGGAAUUCAACUCUGGACAUGAUAAAAAGCAUCCGCAGAAAUGAACGUCCUCUGAGUGACGUCCUCACCACAAGCACCAAGAUUGCCAUGCCAACUCCAGCUGAAAUGGACAAGCUGCAGAGGCUGGAAACGCUACUGGAACCUUGCAGGUAUUUGACUGAACUUUUGGGAGGAGAAAAGUAUGUGUCUUGCUCUGUGGUUCUCACUGCUUUUUGCCAUCUCUUUCGGGUGAUGGAGAGCUCAGAUGAUGACCCCGCCUACGUGACCAAGUUCAAGUCUACAUUUAGAGAGGAUCUAGAGCAAUGGUUCCCAAACUUUUGCAGGCUGGCGCCCCCUUGGCUCCCCAGUGAAUUCCUAGCGCCCCCCCCCCGCACACACACAUGCACACACAGGUACAAAGUCAUAUACAUUCGUAACAAUAUAUAUCAGUGAAUGCACCACCCUAACCAGCUCAACACAACACAACACGGCGCGUUCUGGCGAGUCCCCAAUUUCAUGUUGACUUGAACUCAAGAUGAUGUUGACCGCCAGAAUGCGGUUUUUAUUAUAAGAUACAAUUCUGAACAUUACAAGCUUGAAAUUACAAACCUGAGCUUUUGCUUUUGUAGUCUAUGCUGUCGGAUUUGACUGGGCCAGAGCGGCGUGUGGUAACCGGACCCUGAUGCGUCGUCCACUGACUCGUCCUGCUGCACGUGUUGUCUACAAAUCGUCAAACAAACGUUCGAACUUCUGACUUCGACUUCGGACUGCCGCCCCCCUACUGCCCCCUUCUUCCUCACCGCCCCCCCAGAUCUUUCCACCGCCCUGGUACCGCCCACUUUGGGAACCACUGAUCUAAAGACACGUAAGGGAAAUGCCAACAUUGCAUAUCUGAAGAUUGCUACUGCAUUGGACCCUAGGUUCACGGCCCUCAAGUGCAUCCCCAGAGCUGAGAGGAGUGAGGUGUGGGCUUCAAUCACCAACUUACUGAAGGAAGACAUGGUUACUGCAGAGAAACCUGUGCAAGAAAAAACCUCAGAGCCACCAAAGAAAAAGUUAACCCUGUUGGCUGCUUCAUCUGAGUCUGAUUCUGAACAUGAAGAAGACUCAAUUGAGAACAGUGUGCAUCGAUAGAGUAGAACCUGCCAUAAAUUCAGAUUUCUGUCCAUUAGACUGGUGGUCCAACCAUGCAGGUUCACACAGCACAGAAGUACCUGGCCACACCUGCAACCUAUGUCCCCUGUGAAAGGUUGUUUUCUCUUGCUGGUCAUAUUGUGCAGAAAAAGAGAGCUGCUUUAUCUUCUGAAAAUGUAAAUAUUCUUGUGUGCCUUACCAACUGGCUCAGUGCAGAAGAGUAAACAAAUGAACUCUAGUAUAUAACUUUAUAGUCUAGUCCUCAGCACAGUAAAUCCCAGCAGUGAAUUUUUUGGAGCGUCACCUCUCUCUAAUAGAAACAUUUUGUUCUGAAUAUAGACUUGUUGUGCUGCUUCAUGAUGACCGUAAAACUUUUCUGUUGUUACCUCAGAAAUUGUCUGUAGAAUUGUUGUGAUUGUGGCUCAGGAUUUUUUUUAUUUUUCAUAAGGAACAGUAUAACAUUAAUGCCCAAGUAGUGGCAAUAAGCUUUAAUUUUGUAUUUGCUUCGACAACAUUGUUGAAGCUGAGGCUGAAGAUUUACAAAUAUUUUAUUGGACUGCUAACUUUUUAAAAAUGCUAUUAAAAGUGUGUUUGCCCAGUAAAUAUUAUGGCACUUUAAUUCAAAGGGCAGUAUGUUUAAAAUUAAUGGCCGUCAAGUUCUAUGAAUGAACAAACUGCACCGAGUUGAGUGAGAUUCUCUGAAGGAACUCCAUUAUUAACAUUGACUUUACAUUCUAGUCCCUGUAAAGGAAAUCCCAGGGGUGAAGUGUUUUGUGCUUCACCCUUUCUUUUCUUUCUCCCUGAUAUAAGAAAAUGUUUCUGCUGUUACCUCAGAAAUUGCCUGUUCGGAUGUUGUGAUUGUGGCUCAGGGAUUUGUAUGUAGAUUAUAUUUAUUUUCCAUAAACAGGAUAACUUAAAUACCCUGGUAAUGGCAAUAAGCUUGAAUGUUUGUAUUUAUAUUUUUGGAGCGGAUUUUCAAAAAAUAUGCUAUUUAACUGCUACUGUUUAAAAAGUAGUGAUUUAAAUUGUUUGCACAACAAAUGUUUUGACACUUUAGUUCAUAUGGGAGAAUAUUCCAAUAAAGCUGCACUACACACUA